rnacentral:rRNA from 1 species
AUACGUAGGGUGCGAGCGUUGUCCGGAAUUACUGGGCGUAAAGAGCUCGUAGGUGGUUUGUCGCGUCGUCUGUGAAAUUCCGGGGCUUAACUCCGGGCGUGCAGGCGAUACGGGCAUAACUUGAGUACUGUAGGGGAGACUGGAAUUCCUGGUGUAGCGGAGAAAUGCGCAGAUAUCAGGAGGAACACCGGUGGCGAAGGCGGGUCUCUGGGCAGUAACUGACGCUGAGGAGCGAAAGCAUGGGUAGCGAACAGGAUUAGAUACCCUGGUAGUCCAUGCCGUAAACGGUGGGCGCUAGGUGUAGGGGUCUUCCACGACUUCUGUGCCGUAGCUAACGCAUUAAGCGCCCCGCCUGGGGAGUACGGCCGCAAGGCUAAAACUCAAAUGAAUUGACGGGG